AACCCCUGCAUUCAGUUGCCAUCGGGUAAUGCCGGGCACUCUGGAAGGACUGCCAUCGACAAGAUGGAGGAAGUGGGGAUGACGUCAAGUCAUCAUGGCCCUUAUGUCCAGGGCGACACACGUGCUACAAUGGCCGGCACAACGGGAAGCGAGUUCGCGAGGACGAGCGGAUCCCUCAAAGCCGGUCGCAGUUCGGAUUGAAGUCUGCAACUCGACUUCAUGAAGCUGGAAUCGCUAGUAAUCGUGGAUCAGCCAAGCCGCGGUGAAUACGUUCCCGGGCCUU
rnacentral:rRNA from 1 species